rnacentral:rRNA from 1 species
CCCUUAGAGUUUGAUCCUGGCUCAGGAUGAACGCUGGCGGCGUGCCUAACACAUGCAAGUCGAACGAGCAAAUACAUUUGAUUUCUUCGGAAUGAAGAUGUAGGCGCGAGUGGCGGACGGGUGAGUAACGCGUGAGUAAUCUGCCUCAUACAGGAGAAUAACACUAAGAAAUUGGUGCUAAUACUCCAUAAGCUCACAUUAUGACAUCAUAGAGUGAGAAAAGAUUUAUCGGUAUGAGAGGAGCUCGCGUCUGAUUAGCUAGUUGGUGGGGUAACGGCCUACCAAGGCAACGAUCAGUAGCCGACCUGAGAGGGUGAUCGGCCACAUUGGAACUGAGACACGGUCCAAACUCCUACGGGAGGCAGCAGUGGGGAAUAUUGCACAAUGGGGGAAACCCUGAUGCAGCAACGCCGCGUGAAGGAAGAAGUAUUUCGGUAUGUAAACUUCUAUCGACAGGGAAGAAACAAAUGACGGUACCUGAAUAAGAAGCACCGGCUAAAUACGUGCCAGCAGCCGCGGUAAUACGUAUGGUGCAAGCGUUAUCCGGAUUUACUGGGUGUAAAGGGUGAGUAGGCGGUCAUGCAAGUCAUAUGUGAAAUGUCAGGGCUUAACCUUGGCGCUGCAUAAGAAACUGUAUGACUAGAGUGCAGGAGAGGUAAGCGGAAUUCCUAGUGUAGCGGUGAAAUGCGUAGAUAUUAGGAAGAACACCGGUGGCGAAGGCGGCUUACUGGACUGUUACUGACGCUGAGUCACGAAAGCGUGGGGAGCAAACAGGAUUAGAUACCCUGGUAGUCCACGCCGUAAACGAUGAGUGCUAGGUGUUGGCCAGAGAUGGUCGGUGCCGCAGCAAACGCAAUAAGCACUCCACCUGGGGAGUACGACCGCAAGGUUGAAACUCAAAGGAAUUGACGG